rnacentral:rRNA from 1 species
GACGGAGGAUGCACGUGUUAUCCGGAAUCACUGGGCGUAAAGCGUCUGUAGGUGGUCAAAUAAGUCAACUGUUAAAUCUUGAGGCUCAACCUCAAAAUCGCAGUCGAAACUAUUAGACUAGAGUAUAGUAGGGGUAAAGGGAAUUUCCAGUGGAGCGGUGAAAUGCGUAGAGAUUGGAAAGAACACCGAUGGCGAAGGCACUUUACUGGGCUAUUACUAACACUCAGAGACGAAAGCUAGGGUAGCAAAUGGG